ensembl:lncRNA
CCCCAGCACCCUGGUCAAAGUAGGGCACUGGCCCCCAGCACCCUGGUCAAAGUAGGGCACUAGCCCCAGCACCCUGGUCAAAGUAGGGCACUAGUGCCCAGCACCCUGGUCAGAGUAGGGCACUAGCCCUCAGCACCCUGGUCAAAGUAGGGUACUAGUCCCCAGCACCCUGUUCAAAGUAGGGCACUAGCCCCUAGCACCCUGGUCAAAGUAGGGCACUAGCCCCCAGCACCCUGGUCAAAGUAGGGCACUAGCUCCCAGCACCCUCAUCAAAGUAGUGCACUAGCCCCGAGCACCCUGGUCAAAGUAGGGUACUAGCCCCCUGGUCAAAGUAGUGCACUAGCACCCAGCACCCUGGUCAAAGUAGGGCACUAGCCCCCAGCACCCUGGUCAAAGUAGGGCACUAGCCCCCAGCACCCUGGUCAAAGUAGGGCACUAGCUCCCAGCACCCUGGUCAAAGUAGGGCACUAGCUCCCAGCACCCUCAUCAAAGUAGUGCACUAGCCCCGAGCACCCUGGUCAAGGUAGUGCACCAGCACCCUGGUCAAAGUAGUGCACUAGCCCCCAGCACCCUGGUCAAAGUAGGGCACUAGCCCACAGCACCCUGGUCAAAGUAGGGCACUAGCCCCCAGCACCCUGGUCAAAGUAGGGCACUAGAUCCCAGCACCCUGGUCAAAGUAGGGCACUAGCCCCCAGCACCCUGGUCAAAGUAGGGCACUAGCCCCCAGCACCCUGGUCAAAGUAGGGCACUAGCCCCCAGCACCCUGGUCAAAGUAGGGCACUAGCCCCCAGCACCCUCAUCAAAGUAGUGCACUAGCCCCGAGCACCCUGGUCAAGGUAGUGCACCAGCACCCUGGUCAAAGUAGAGCACUAGCCCCCAGCACCCUGGUCAAAGUAGAGCACUAGCCCCCAGCACCCUGGUCAAAGUAGGGCACUGGCCCCCAGCACCCUGGUCAAAGUAGGGCACUAGCCCCCAGCACCCUGGUCAAAGUAGGGCACUAGCUCCCAGCACCCUGGUCAAAAUAGCCCCCAGCACCCUGGUCAAAGUAGGGCACUAGUGCCCAGCACCCUGGUCAGAGUAGGGCACUAGCCCUCAGCACCCUGGUCAAAGUAGGGUACUAGACCCCAGCACCCUGUUCAAAGUAGGGCACUAGCCCCUAGCACCCUGGUCAAAGUAGGGCACUAGCCCCCAGCACCCUGGUCAAAGUAGGGCACUAGCGCCCAGCACCCUGGUCAGAGUAGGGCACUAGCCCUCAGCACCCUGGUCAAAGUAGGGUACUAGUCCCCAGCACCCUGGUCAAAGUAGGGCACUAGCCCUCUGCACCCUGGUCAAAGUAGUACAGUAGCCCUCUGCACCCUGGUGAAAGUAGGGCACGAGCCCCCAGCACCCUGGUCAAGGUAGUGCACCAGCACCCUGGUCAAAGUAGGGCACUAGCCCCCAGCACCCUGGUCAAAGUAGGGCACUAGCCCCUAGCACCCUGGUCAAAGUAGGGCACUAGCCCCUAGCACCCUGGUCAAAGUAGGGCACUAGUCCCCAGCACCCUGGUCAAAGUAGGGCACUAGUCCCCAGCACCCUGGUCAAAGUAGGGCACUAGCCCCCAGCACCCUGGUCAAAGUAGUGCACUAGCCCCCGGCACCCUCAUCCAAGUAGUGCACUAGCCCCCAGCACCCUGGUCAAAGUAGUGCACCAGCACCCUGGUCAAAGUAGGGCACUAGCCCCCAGCACCCUGGUCAAAGUAGGGCACUAGCCCCCAGCACCCUGGUCAAAGUAGGGCACUAGCCCCUAGCACCCUGGUCAAAGUAGGGCACUAGUCCCCAGCACCCUGGUCAAAGUAGGGCACUAGCCCCCAGCACCCUGGUCAAAGUAGUGCACUAGCCCCCGGCACCCUCAUCCAAGUAGUGCACUAGCCCCCAGCACCCUCAUCAAAGUAGUGCACUAGUCCCAGCACC